rnacentral:rRNA from 1 species
UACGGGGGAGGCAAGCGUUGUUCGGAUUUACUGGGCGUAAAGGGCGCGUAGGCGGCCACCGCAAGUCGGUUGUGAAAUCUCCGGGCUUAACCCGGAAAGGUCAAUCGAUACUGCGGGCUAGAGUGCAGAAGGGGCAACUGGAAUUCUCGGUGUAGCGGUGAAAUGCGUAGAUAUCGAGAGGAACACCUGCGGCGAAGGCGGGUUGCUGGGCUGACACUGACGCUGAAGCGCGAAAGCUAGGGGAGCGAACGGG